AGAGUUUGAUCCUGGCUCAGGACGAACGCUGGCGGCGUGCCUAAUACAUGCAAGUAGAACGCUGAAGAGAGGAGCUUGCUCUUCUUGGAUGAGUUGCGAACGGGUGAGUAACGCGUAGGUAACCUGCCUUGUAGCGGGGGAUAACUAUUGGAAACGAUAGCUAAUACCGCAUAACAAUGGAUGACACAUGUCAUUUAUUUGAAAGGGGCAACUGCACCACUACAAGAUGGACCUGCGUUGUAUUAGCUAGUAGGUGAGGUAACGGCUCACCUAGGCGACGAUACAUAGCCGACCUGAGAGGGUGAUCGGCCACACUGGGACUGAGACACGGCCCAGACUCCUACGGGAGGCAGCAGUAGGGAAUCUUCGGCAAUGGGGGCAACCCUGACCGAGCAACGCCGCGUGAGUGAAGAAGGUUUUCGGAUCGUAAAGCUCUGUUGUAAGUCAAGAACGAGUGUGAGAGUGGAAAGUUCACACUGUGACGGUAGCUUACC
rnacentral:rRNA from 1 species